AAGACAGGGUUGAGCCCAGCGUUGGGAGCGGAGGCGUCUGGAAAACGCGCCAGGGAAAUGAGCCAGGGGCAAGAAUCGAGGCGCUUCUCGGCCGUCGAAGGCAGCUUAGGACUGCUGAGAGACUGGAGACGGAGUCUGGCUAUGUCGCCCAGGCUGGAGUGCAGUGGCGCGAUCUCGGCUCACUGCAGCCUCCGCCUCCCGGGUUCAAGCGUUUCUCCUGCUUCAUCCUCCUGAGUAGCUGGGACUACAGGCGCGUGCCACCAAGCCUGGCUAAUUUUUGUAUUUUUAGUAGAGACAGGGUUUCACCAUUUUGGCCAGGAUGGUUUUGAUCUCUUGACCUCGUUAUCUGCCUGCCUAGACCUUCCAAAGUGCUGGAAUUACAGGCGUGAGCCACCGCGCCCGGCCACAACCAGUAUUUCUUGCAAAGCAUAAUACAACUUUAUGUAGUAUUAUGUUUUGAGUGGAAUAAAAAUUCACAAUUGUCAAAGAACCUUUUUGUCGCAUUUCAUUUUACAAUAUUAUUAAAGAAAUGAGGCAAGGAAGAGAUGUUUUAUUGGCACUUUCUAAUUGAUUAUGUCUUCCACUCUUUCUAAUGAAAGGGGUUAUUUUAACACAGCAACAUGAUGAAAGAAAGCCCUAGAGAUGAGUAGAAAUGAAUAGUGUUGAGCUUUUCCAUCCUUCCUGCUUUGCAGCCUGGGGAGUAAAUUUCAGUCCAAGUUACUUCAUUUUGCAGCAAGACAAUUUAAUGAAGUCCACUAGUAGUUUGCUGCUUCAUGAGGUUCUACUGUCAGCUUUGACUUUUGGUACAAUUAAGGAGCCACAAAGUCCCUGGAGUAGAUUAUGAAACUUCUUACCCUUACUCUUAUAAUGUCAGGCUUGAGGAUUUAAACCAGUUUCCCUGUUUCCUUGCACGGUGUUAAUAUACUUGGUUUGCCUCCAAUCAAGUUUUUUUUUUUUCCUUUUUAAAAUCCUCCUUCCCUUAGUGGGAAUAGAUGUUUAAAAUUCAGUGUUCUUGCUUGAUGACUUGUGAUGUAUAUAAAAAAACUCGAUGUUCAUUAAAAAGCUAGCAAACUUUGGCUCAAAGAAAAUGUUGCAUUUAUAGCUAGUCAGUGAAUCUCCUCUGGCCUCAAUUUCCCCAGUUCCACAACACAUUUCUCUCCUUGGGGUGCUGCAAGCGGUUAAUUAAUUAAGAUUUGUAAAAGGCUUUGAGGAGUAGGGGACAAAGUAUUAUUAGGGUCUCAUGCCCCAAGCCAUGGCCCCAUCCUUUCAUCCCAGCCAGUGGCACAGGCAACCCCAUUCUUAUGCAUGCCAAGCCCCUAAUCCCCUCUUGAAUGUGGAAGCUUCCAAGGAAAGGACAAGAGGCCUUAACUAGAAACAAAAAUCCACUGUAAUGAGGUGCUAAGAGGACUGAACUUUCAAGAUUCAUUCCUAACAAACUGGCUGAACAGAAAAACUUCUGAGUCCCAAUCCAAGAAAGUGGGAGUUAUCGGAAGGGCAAAAACAUCUGACAAGGGGAUGACAGUUUGCGUACCAAUAAGUCUUUAUUUAUUCAUUGUAUUUUCCCAGGGAAAGGAGAAGGGAAGGGAAGAGUCAGCUUGUGUUAAAAAAUGAUUAGAAAAUGGGAAAGGAAGUACCCAGUACAGCAAAAUCAACCAUCAAAUAAACACACCCCAGUGAUGGGGUCACCAAAGCCCAAAGGGGCUCAGUCUCCUGCAGUUCAGGAAUGAGGGAAAAGGAUCAGGAAAAAAACAGACAGGUACAGGCUUUCCUACCCUCCCGCCCCAUAAAUUCAAGAUUUUACACAAAGCUUUGGUUUUUAGCAGUAAACAUGGAGUUACAUUCGUUCGUCUCCUAUUAAACAAUCUUGUGGCCACUUUGACAUAAAGUUUCUAGCACCUGCAUAAAAGUUCCUGAGUGACUUGGAUAUACAUUCAUAUUCCCUUUCUUGGCCUCCUGACCCCACUUUCUACAUGGAAGGCCCCCAAUUGCAUCUCUUUACUUUAGGAUUAGAAAUUAAAAUUAAGGAGGUUUGAUCCAUCCAAAAUACAGUAGUGUGUUUUUGUUUUGUUUUGUUUUGUUUGAGACAGAGUCUUGCUCUGUAACCAGGCUGGAGUGCAGUGGUGCGAUCUCAGCUCACUGCAACCUCUGCCUCUCGGGUUCAAGCGAUUCCCCUGCCUCAGCCUCCUGAAUAGCUAGGACUAAAGGCAUGCACCACCACACCCGGCUAAUUUUUUUGUAUUUUAGUAGAGACGGGGUUUCACUGUGUUGGCCAGGAUAGUUUUGAACUCGUGACCUUGUGAUCCGCCCGCCUCAGCCUUCCAAAGUGCUGGGAUUACAGGUGUGAGCCACCGCGCCUGGGCUACAGCAGUGUCUUAAGUGUUUGGCAUGAAUACACCAAGAAAUGGUUGGCCCAGCAUGGUGGCUCAUGCCUGUAAUCCCAGCACUUUGGGAAGCCAAGGUGGGCAGAUCACCUGAGGUCAGGAGUUCCAGACCAGCCUGGACAACAUGGUGAAACCCCGUCUCUACUAAAAAUACAAAAAUUAGCUGAGUGUGGCGGGUGCCUGAAAUCCCAGCUACUCAGGAGGCUGAGGCAGGAGAAUCACUUGAACCCAAGAGGCAGAGGCUGCAGUGAGCCGAUCAUGCCACUGCACUCCAGCCUGGGUGACACAGUGAGACUCCAUUUUAAAAAAAAAAAAAAAAGAAAGAAAGAAAUGGUAAUGGUCUUGACUUAGGAGGUUGGGAACAAGGGAUGGAGGGUUUUCCUAGCUUCAGUAUUUUUGCAUACAUCAUUUAAGAGUUGUGGAGACACUCCAAGCAUGAAAUGUGUAUGUGUGUGGGUGUGUAAGUUUUCUUUUGGGGGUGAACAGAAAAGAGGGCAGGGUAGAAGACAAGUUUUUAGGACAGAAGAUCUGGUCUAAUAGGUAAUAGGGGAAGGGGAAUACAAAAGAAAGGAUGGUUCAAGAUCCCCACUUUAAGAAGAGGGCCCCCCAAACUAAUGUUUCAGAUCUUUUUGCCUGGUGCAGAACCUUCUGUCAAAGAUGCUUUGGCUAUUUUUCUCUCAAUACAAAAAGAAGUUUGUAAACAAAACCCCCAAAGAACACGGAGAAAGACCAAUACAUUAUAUUUACACAAACUAGGCCACCUAGCAAUCAACGUAGUGAAGUCCUACAAAGCCCAGACAAAUACAGUAACUUGGGGGGCAGCAUUUAGGGGAGACAAGAACCCAGGAUCAGACACACACCACCCAAUGCGUUCUAUUGCAUUUGUCCCGUUUCAACACAGUAAGGUAGGUUUGCGGUGAUCUCACAGCGUGUAAACGAAACCCCCUUUUUCUCCUUUAGCUACCAUGACACUAUUAAUCACUACUGUAGCAGGGCAGGACACAGGCUCCAGGCACCACAAAACCCUCGCUUGUGUGUCUCCCUGGAACCCGAAAAUUUUGAAAGGUUAAGGAUCUCACCUUACUUCAUAUAUCCAUCCCUCGACAGCACAGGAUUAAGUACAGGGGUAUUGGUCUUUAAACUUAUCCUUAGCAACUCUAGUUUUACAAACACACACACACCCUGUGGCACAUGGUAGGCCUAACCUAAUCUGGUGAAGAACAGAUCUGGAGAUGUAAAGCACGUCCUGUGCCAUAGGAUUAGACAACCCUCACCUAAUCUUGGCUUGCUCUCUGGCCUUUUCACCGGGCCCAGCCUCUCCUAGCCUCUGUGUACCACCAUUUCCUGUUUAGACUAAUUCCCAAUCUUCCAGUAGAAGGCAAUCAAGUCAUGGGGCCACCCAGUUAAAACCUAGUCUCCCAUAAAACAUUUUCAAGGCAGAGGGGGUUUCAAGAGGACACUAUGGCAGAAAAGCCAGCUCUUAUUGGCAAAAAUGAGGUAGUUCAAUAGGCUGUGCACUCCAAAUAGUUGCUCUCCACGGUGGCAAAAACAACAAAAAGUAAUUCCUGCUGCGCAGACCUGGAGCUGCUGCUGGCUAUCCCUGAGAUUGCUCAUGUACCUGAGAACACAGUGCAGGAAAUGAGGGCCUUAGAUUAAAAUAUACAAAAAUACAAAACCAGAAUAUUUAUAUUAAGGAAAAAAAGUUAAAAUGCACAAGAUACGUCAUUCGCACACAGCUAGUGCAGUUGGCAUCCUGGAGAAAGUGGGACCCAAGGUGCAGUAUCCAAGGGAGCAAAUAAAUAAAAUCACAUUGGCCCAGAAUGGGGCGGGGGUGAGCAUAGAGCAGCAGGUCUGCAGCUGUUCCCCCAAACACCCUUUUUGCCAUCAUCAUUACCCAUUGCUUGGGACAGCUGCCAGCACCCUAUCCCAAAAGUGGGUAUGAGGAUACAAGAUGUGAAAAAAAAACAAUGCUUACUCCUGAGAGAUCUCCUUCCACAGAAUGUAGUGGCUUGGCUCCAUGAAUCUGGUCUUAUACUUAAUCAUUUCACUCUGGCAUGGGAAUUAUUAUAUAUCCUUCUUUAAAAGGAAAACAACUUCCCUAUCCAGGCCACUUUCAAAAGCUGGAAAUUCUGGGGAUGGAGACUCAAAGUAUGCAGGUUGUAGGGUGAUUCCCCCCUCCUGGUUGCCCCCAGAACCCUCACUUGCAUUUGGACAGAGCAUGGUUGGAGUUCCUUUGACUCACCCUUUCCCCCCACCUAGAGGGAAGAAAGGGUGAUGGUGUGAACCCAAGCCUGAGAUACAUGGCAGUGCCAACUAGCCCCAAUGCACCCUAUUCCCACUUUCUCCACUCUGCCUGCUCCUCAAAACUUCCUGAUAGCAAAAGAAUAGCCCCCACCCAUUGUGGCUCAAUUCUGUGCCUCCGGGAGCAGGGUAGGGCUGUGGAUUUCUUCUUCUUCCUCUCGAAAGUAGGUUGGCUUUCCCUGUGCACUAGGGCCCUGCUGGGCCUUCAGCGGACAUGAGGCUACCAUAUGGCUGAUGCUCUGGCAGAAGUGGCACUUCUUGGGCUGGGGUGGCAGCUUGCAUUCCUUGGCAUGAUGAUCUAGACCUCCACAGUUGUAGCACCUAGUACAAAGCAAGAUCGUAAAAGUAAGAGAAAGGAGCAAGAAGAGGCCAGAUGCCUCCCACGAAUGAGGACACCUGGGCUCUGGUACAGGUUUGUCACUUACUUCCCUUCCCAGAGACCAAACUUCCCACUUGCAAAAGGAGGACUAUUACUAAAUGAUCUCUAAGUCCUUUCCACAUCUAAUUGUCUAGGUGAUCUCUUCAGAUUCAUGUCAACUUGAAAAUACCAAGAUACCAGAAAUAUAAGUUACUGACCCCAACUAGGAACUGCAACUUGGGGGAUAGGAGAGAUUCUUCCAUACCCUUAAUAUAGGAGAAAUUAAAGAAGCCAAAUUAUAGUAUCUGUUCAGAGCUAAGGGGCUUUAAGCCCAAGCAAGAUUAAGGAAACCAGCCAUUUGCAGACCUGGUAAAGCAGCAACAGAUAUAGAUAAUACUGUCUUGUCCCACCAUUUGCAAAUCUAUGAUCUCCUUUAAUUCUAAAACCAUCCUAGGAUGUUAGUAUCACUGCCUCACUUAACAAUUGAGGCUUAGAGACCACAGAGCAAACUUACUUGUCCCAAGUAGCACUAAGUCACCCCCAGUGGCCUCCUCACCUACUGCCCUUGCCCACACCUAUUGCAGGCGCUCAGCCUUCCAGAUGCUGCCAGGGACCACAGGCUUCCCUUUGUCUUUUGCAGUGUGACCCAAAAAGUGACAGGAUUGGGAGACUGGGGAUGCCCUUAGCAACCUAUAUAAGCUGCCUUCCAAUCCAUACCUGUCUCCUUUUGAUCUGCGCUUCUGCAUGCUCUUUCCUUUUGGCCGCCUCUCACUCCCAAUACAGAAUACUCCACCAGGUCCGGUGACACGGAUGGAUUCCAGACCCUUGGCUGACUUCUUAAAGGUGAACUCCACUGCCUCACCCUCCUUCAAGCUCCGGAACCCUUCCAUGUGCAGCUUACUCUGGUGAAGGGAAAUGCAGUAAAUUUUAACAUUAAUUUCCAUUAUUAUACCAAAAGACAAGGAACUCUUAUUCCUGUAGGGUAGGAAUCAAAUGUGAUGGUACUCCUAUUUUACUGGUAAGGAAACUGACUCAAAGAGUCACUACGAUUAAGAACAACAAAGUCUACCAGUACAUUAACAAAAAUCGUAAUUAU
rnacentral:lncRNA from 10 species